UACGUAGGGGACGAGCGUUGUCCGGAUUUAUUGGGCGUAAAGAGCUCGUAGGCGGUUUGGUAAGUCGGGUGUGAAAUCUCCACGCUCAACGUGGAGGGGCCACUCGAUACUGCCAUGACUCGAGUCCGGUAGAGGAGUGUGGAAUUCCCGGUGUAGCGGUGAAAUGCGCAGAUAUCGGGAGGAACACCCGGUAGCGAAGGCGGCACUCUGGGCCGGAACUGACGCUGAGGAGCGAAAGCGUGGGGAGCAAACAGGG
rnacentral:rRNA from 1 species